rnacentral:rRNA from 1 species
GACGUAGGAUGCAAGCGUUGUUCGGAAUUACUGGGCGUAAAGCGUCCGUAGGCGGGUCGGUAAGUGGAUAGUUAAAACCCGGGGCUCAACCCCGAGGGUGCUAUCCAGACUGCCGGUCUGGAGGUCGGCAGAGGGUAAUGGAAUUCCCGGUGUAGAGGUGAAAUUCGUAGAUAUCGAGAGGAACACCGGUGGCGAAGGCGGCGAUCUGGACGAUGACUGACGCUGAGACGCGAAAGCGUGGGGAGCAAACAGG